CCUACGGGAGGCAGCAGUCGAGAAUCAUUCACAAUGGGGGAAACCCUGAUGCAGCGACGCCGCGUGAGUGAAGAAGUAUUUCGGUAUGUAAAGCUCUAUCAGCAGGGAAGAGAAUGACGGUACCUGAGUAAGAAGCCCCGGCUAACUACGUGCCAGCAGCCGCGGUAAUACGUAGGGGGCAAGCGUUAUCCGGAUUUACUGGGUGUAAAGGGAGCGUAGACGGCGAAGAAAGUCUGAAGUGAAAGCCCGCGGCUCAACCGCGGAACUGCUUUGGAAACUUUUUUGCUGGAGUACCGGAGAGGUAAGCGGAAUUCCUAGUGUAGCGGUGAAAUGCGUAGAUAUUAGGAGGAACACCAGUGGCGAAGGCGGCUUACUGGACGGUAACUGACGUUGAGGCUCGAAAGCGUGGGGAGCAAACAGGAUUAGAUACCCCUGUAGUC
rnacentral:rRNA from 1 species